CGAAUUCCGACAGUGAGAGGAACGGCCGGAUACAGGAGACGGGAAGAAACAAGCCGAUUAUGUUCGCGUUAAUUAGGUGGUUGGAAGAUGUAAAAUUCUCAAUUCUGCCAACUGAACAUAUACGAGAUUUUAAUGAGGAUGAAUAAUUAGUGGAGGAAACGGACCUUUAUUUGGUGGAGUGGCGACAAGGAGCCAAAAGGCGGGUGGCCGGUCUAUGAAGCCUCCAUCAUCAAGCUAGCAGCCCAUGAAAUCGAACGCAGAUCUUCCUGAUGUGAGAUUUACAUAAAUAUGUCAAAGUCUCAACCUCAUGCUGCCCUCCCCCAUCCUCCUAAACCUGUGGAUACAAAUGCAGAUUUCCUUAAUGUUCAAUGGUGCGUGUUCUUCUAAUGGCCGCCUUCCCACUGGAGGUUUUGAUCCACAGCAAUUUAAAAGGAGGACAAAGCAAAACGGACAUCGGCGCAGAGUGAAGAACUGCCCUUCAUAAGGACACUAUGACAGCCAUAUAUAUGGCGGUAAGGAAGAGGUUUCCCAAUUUGUGCAGAAGGGCUUUGAGGAUUGCAGUGAAAGCUGGGGAACUGAGACUGCUGGAAAAGGAAAAGAAAUUACAUUUUAAG